rnacentral:misc_RNA from 1 species
GAUGAAGAACGUAGCAAAAUGCGAUAAGUAAUGUGAAUUGCAGAAUUCAGUGAAUCAUCGAAUCUUUGAACGCACCUUGCACCCUUUGGCAUUCCGAAGGGUAUGCUCGUUUGAGUGUCAUUGUACUCUCACACUUCUGAUCCUUUGGAUUGGGAGCGGUGGACUUGGGUGUUGCUGCUUUACUGUGGCUCACCUCAAAUGCAUUCGUGCAACUCUUGGUUGGACAUAGUACGGCGUGAUAAGUAUCUUCGCCGGCACCUCGCAAGAGGGUGGCUGAUCAGGAGCUCUGUGCUUUCCAACUGUCUUCAGACAACAACUGACAACUUGACCUCAAAUCGAGUAGGACCACCCGCUGAACUUAAGCAUAUCAAUAAGCGGAGGA